rnacentral:rRNA from 1 species
CCUACGUGAGGCAGCAGUGGGGAAUAUUGCGCAAUGGGCGAAAGCCUGACGCAGCGACGCCGCGUGAGGGAUGAAGGUCUUCGGAUCGUAAACCUCUGUCAGCAGGGAAGAACGGUCACUGUGCUAAUCAGCAGUGAAUUGACGGUACCUGCAAAGGAAGCACCGGCUAACUCCGUGCCAGCAGCCGCGGUAAUACGGAGGGUGCGAGCGUUAAUCGGAAUUACUGGGCGUAAAGCGCUCGUAGGCGGUAUGUCAAGUCAAGGGUGAAAUCCCCGCGCUCAACGUGGGAACUGCCUUUGAAACUGGCAAACUGGAGUGUGUGAGAGGAUAGUGGAAUUCCAGGUGUAGGAUUGAAAUCCGUAGAUAUCUGGAGGAACAUCAGUGGCGAAGGCGACUAUCUGGCACAUAACUGACGCUGAGGAGCGAAAGCGUGGGUAGCAAACAGGAUUAGAUACCCUAGUAGUC